UAAACAAGGUAAUUGAAACAUUAUUAAAAACAAAUUUGUAAACUCCACUCCAUUGUCUGAAGAACCAACCAUUAAUUGAUUCUGGAAGAAAUGAAAAGGAUCAUUGGAUUUUUCCUCUCUUUGCACAUCCAAAGUGGCAUUGUAAAAGAUCAGAGUUGUGGAACAUGUACUAGAGGAUCAUCCUGUGAAUAAGACAACAUCUCAGGCGUCAGGUUGAUAUUGAUGUAUUCUGGCUCCAUGCAACAGUGAGAAGAGGUACGGGAAAAAACAAAUCCCAGUGGCACCUGAGGCAAACAAGGACCUUGAGUACUUCAGGUGCUGACACACAAGAACUCAGGUCCCCAGGUGUGCCCCGCUUCUGAGAGCUGUGUGUCAUUAAUCACCAUCUAAAGGUCAUGGUGUCUUCUUCAGUAUUUCUGCAGUAGGAAAAGAGCACAACAGAAUUAUUGCACCGUUUUGUUGAAUAGUAUGCACAGAUGGAGUAUCCAACUGCACCAUCAUCAAAGUACGGUGAGACUCUUUUUUCUUCUCACUUGAAGCUGAAACCUGGUCUGAACCACGGUCAAAGAAACAUAUUCUUUCAGAUGAACAAUGGCUUUGAUUGAAAAACAUUGGACAAUUGGGCAACUGGGGGUAGCUCUGAAAAUCUGAAGGAGUGUAUAGAGGAUGAAGGGAAACUGAUGCUGGUAAUUGCUGUUCCCGGCAAUAAAGUCGUGGGAGAGUCCUGAAAUGAUGAAAGUACUGUCAUUGUGUGCAAAAUUAUGGGAUGCAUGUUGAAGGCUUAACAUAUGAAAGAAUUAUACCACAAAGAUUUGCCACCUGCAGCUCUCCAUAAACAACAGAAACAAAAUUAAGGAAAAACUUGGGAUUCUGAAGAGAUAUUUUGCAUAGUGUCUGAAGAAACGUCACCUAAGCAUUAAUUCAAAAUUUGCAGAGUCAAUGAGUGGCAACUUGAACGACUUCACCCGCUUUGGCACAUUCUUCAUGAGGAACAAGAAAAAUGACUGCAGAAAACUGGAACCUCAAGCAAUGACCAUGAAGUAUCCCAAAGGAAGCACUGGUUUCAUGGGUAUAUCUGCUUGGAAAGAAAAGUGGUGGUUAACCACUCAAAUCUAUCUUUCCGAGGACUAAUAUUUGCCUUCUCCAAAGAGCCAACCUGACAUACCUGUAUGUGCCAUCAUCGCUCUAAGAAAAGACAUACGAAAGGAGUCUGAGAUGGACUUAAUGAGAAAGGUUCCUUUCCCUGUUUGCACUGAUGACCUCUCCAACACCUCUGUUUGCUUUUGUUGUCAAGAUAAUGACAGAUCAUACUCAGGCAAAGACAGUCCUGGUGCAUCAUGUGGAAAACUCAUGGAAAGAGUUUACAAUAACAUGAACUACCUAAGCAUUGGAAAGAUCAGCUACUUCCAAAAGAUGUGAAUAUAUGUCUGCUUCGUAUGGGAUACCAACCAAGUUUUUCUUCCUAAAGAGAUACAUUUUAACCAGAGAGGAAAUAGGAGGCAUAAACUAAAAUAACAUAUUUAAAGUGCCCAGCUGAUGCUAUUCUGAGACCAAGUCUCCCUGUGAGGCUGUAGCCACAGAGCCCUGCAGGCUCACAGGCUUUUUUACAGCACUGCUUUACUGGGAUAACGUCAAGGCUUUCAGGCCUCACAGGUUUAUGUCAUGCAGUCUGUGGAUAUUUUGCUUGACAGUGAAGCAGGCUGGAAGCAGCCUUGGCUGCAGUGCAUCCAGAGAUGAUUGCAUUAUCUGUUCUGGGCCACCCUGUAUUGGAUAAUAACAUUUGGUUAAUCAUAAACAUUAUUCAGUGGGAAAUGUAGAUGUUAAUAAACCAGUACUGUGAAAGAAACUCACAAUGACUAUAAAAUACAAAAUAUAUGUCACUCCUUAUGAUUUACCACCAUUAAGUUAUACUGUAUGUUUAUCAUGUCGCUGGCUGAAGGCAUCCUUAAAUUGCUUGUGGCCUUUUUCAGUCCUACAGGCUAAACCCAUUUUUCUAGGAUCUAGCUUAUGAGUAAUUCUGUGUUGCUUUAUUUUUUGGUAGACUUUUUGUUGUUUCUCUAUUUUGGAUAAAGAGACUGUCUGCAUAGAGAAACAUACAGUGUAAUUCAUGCAAGUCAGAAAGUACUUCCCUUAUAAUAAACAAGGACUUGCAUAACCCCAUCAUCAAACAUCUCUCACAGUUCCAUAAACAGAUAAAAUGAAAAAUAUUUUUUCUGGGGAGUCGAAGCUGCGUUGCCACAAAGAAUAAACACCUCCUUGCAAUAUCUUUUGUAACAAUGUGCUUUUGGAGAGCACGUUGUUACAAGCACAAGCCAUCUGUAACAUGAGAUGCACGCAGGUGUUUGUGCCUCUGGGAACCUCAGAACUGCCGCAAUACAAACUUGCUUACUUCAGCAUUUCUUUAUUUAAUGGCAGGUAAAAGGUGGCAGUUAAUUUUGCCUGGAUUUUUCUUCAAAGUCUGUUACAGAACCAGCCUCUAAAGAACAGGAUUUGCUUCAUAGCUUAUCCAAGAACACUGUAUUUCUCUGUUCUAAAACUUGUGGCAGUAAGCACUAUAUCUAUAUAUAUAUGUAUGUAUGCAUGUGUACGUUACACAUAUAUGUAAUACCUGCCUAUAUAUUGGUGUAUUUAUACAACUGUGUAUGUAUAUUUCCCUAUUCAAGGAAAAAUUCCUUCAUGCUGGUUCACCUAACCUGAGUGAUAAUGCUUUACAACAUGGCUAUUUUAUAUUUGAGAUGAAUUACCGUGCAGACACUGGCACUCAAAGCAAAAACAACAACAGCAACAAAACCCCCUACAAAUCUCAUGAGGAAAUGAUAUGAAAUAAAACAAGCUCCUUUCACAAAGAGCUAUCUACCCUCUAGGUGAAGUAAGGUCAGCACACAUUUUGGUGAAUGAAGCCUUUUAUUUUUGUUCUGAAUGGACGUUUUGUCUCCAAUCCCACAAGAGGGCAGCAAAGGAAAAUGGUUGCCAAACACAAGACAAAAACAUUCAAGGACGUUUAAGCAUUUAAGUUUCCUGCUGUGCUUAAUAAGACACUGAAAAUACCAUUGUGUGGGAACUAAGAGAGCUUGCUGAAAACCACCUGAUGAGAGAAAGAGAUAUAUAUAUUUCUAAUGCUCCCCAAGCUUCCCAAUCCGUUGAGAGCUUAAUUAAGUUACUUGCUAUUACCUUCAGAUACACUCCCCAGUCAUGUGAUGCUGGCACAGCAGCUCAGCAACGUCUCCUGGGCUUCAGCAUCCUCAUCUGUAGUGCUAAUUGUUCGGUUCUUGCCAAAUUUAAGUGCUUUCUCUCAAAUCCCUUCCUCUCUUUCUAAGGCAUUCUUUGCCUCAUGAAACACUGACGCUAAUGGCAAGGUUUGCGCUUCAAGUGCUCUGAUGACAACACAAUCGCCCCAUUUUUGGUUGUUUUAUCCCCAGAUAAUACCUGAGUAAUAAAGGGAUCCUGAUAUAAAAAGAGAUUUUGUCAACAGACAGCCUUACCAGGAGCUUUUCAAGCAGGAGCUAGGGCAUUUUAGCUGCUUUGAGUUGCUGAGGGAAUGUCUGUGUGCCACAGUGUCU